AUGGAGAUGGACCCACCACCCAAAAUGCUUGCCUCUCUCACCAUGACCAUACUGAUGAUGAUGAUGGCCACCUCCACCGCACUUGCGUCGGAUGCAGCGGUGCUCGAAGGACAAGCAAGAGCACUUCUCGUCUGGAAAGACGGCCUCGACAACCAAAGCCAGCAAGCCCUGCACUCCUGGGGAAACACGUCGACGCCUUGCAACUGGCGCGGCAUCAAUUGCGAUAUCGGUGUGCAGCGACACCAACAUUGGCCGGUGAUCAGCGGCAUCUCUCUACGGGGUAUGCGGCUGAGCGGAGCUCUGGAGUCCCUCAACUUCUCAGCCUUGAGGACCUUGGCAUGCCUCGACCUCUCAAACAACCUCCUCACUGGGAGCAUUCCUCCUAGUAUCGAGGUCCUUGGCGAGCUCCAUGCUCUCCUUCUGCAAGGCAACCAGAUAAGAGGCUCAAUCCCACUAGGUCUAGGAAAUCUCACAAAAUUGCAUUCCUUAAUACUUCACGAAAAUGAACUCUACGGUGAAAUACCAAGCCAGAUAGGCAACAUGAGUAGUCUUGUCACCCUCAACUUAAGUAGAAGGUGCACCAUCCUCAUCGACCCCUGCUGCUGCUCCUCUCCCGCACGGGGCCAAACCCCUGCGCCAGCUCCGCUGCCGUGGCACAAGCACCUCCUCACGGCCACCGUCGCUGCAGCGUCCGCGCUGGUGGCCCUCGCCCUCGCCGCCUUCUUCGACUGCUGCACGACCCAUCUCGCCUGUGCCACCGAUGUCGUUGACCUGCUCUCAUGCGAGGACGCGCGCCUGGGCUCCCCGCAGCGCCCGUCGCGUCCAAGGACAGGGCCGACGUCGCCACCAACCUCAGGAGUGAGGAGGCUCCUACUAGGGUCCUCCAACUGCGCGGCCACCGGCGUCCCUACAGCGGUCUUGUUCUCCAAGGUGCCCGCCGUGCACGGGGCCUUCCGGGAUUCGGCGUGGGCCCUCCACGCCUGGGUGCGCGGCGAGCUCAAUGGUCCGGUAGACCGGUACUGAAGCUCGGGAACCAAGGAGGAGACUUUGAUACUGAUGACACUGGUGCAACCUCAGCACUGCUCCCUGCACUUGUCCUACAGAGACUACAGGGUAAAGUGAAGAAAGCUACGGAGAGCAGUGAAUUAGCGAGGAGAUUCCCUAACGUUCCCAAGGCGCAAGAGAAGGGGUGUACCAGAUGAAACACUGAAAAAAUUGGAAGUCUAGUGAACACCAGAGGACUGGCGCAGCUCAUUUCUAGCGCGCCUUCAUAAGCCUCCUGUGCAACGCUCGGUUCGAAGAGCUGUCCGUGCAGGAUCUCUUUCGGACCUACUAUAUGAACAUUGUUAGAGAUAUAUUUGGGAUACAUGUAUUUGAUAGUCUAGAAUUUGUAAUCCGUCUUCUACCUUAUCUUUAGAAGAGUUUCUUGCCCUCCAAGUCUUGCACUCAAUAUAUACUCGCCCUCGAGACUCAGUAAUACAUCCAUCAUAUUCCGUAACAAUACCCUCCUCUCUCUCUCUCUCUUCUAACAUGGUAUCAGCCUAAUCGAUCAUAAAGCCUAGCCGCCAUCGCUUCCGCACCCGCGCGCCGCCCCCGGGGCGCUCGGCCUCCAUGACCGCCGCCGGGGGCCGUGCCAUCCGUAGAUAGGGUUCGUCCGCCGGUCCUGUUGACCGGCUGCCAUAGAGAGUCUUUUUCCCGAGACCUUGCUUGGAGGUUUUGUUUUUGGUUUUCCGAUCUAUGCUUAGAUCGGUUUGUGUCACGCGCCGCCGCCGUCGAACCCCGUGCGUCUCCACUCCAACACCGACACGACCGGCUGGCCUCUCCUCCGCCCCGGCGGCCACGCGCGCCGAGGCGGCCGUCAGGGCCAGCCUCCGUCCGCGUGGUGCCUCGCCCGUCGCCCUGCGCCGGCCGUCGCCGCCGUACUCAGACCGGAAUACUGCAUCGCCCCCACCCGACGGCCUCGCGCCAUGCGGCGGCCCAUCAUAGCCUACUUUCGCCCGCCGGCCCGCCCUUCGAUCUACGUCGUGCCUGUACGGCCACCACGCUGGCCGUCAUCGCUGGCCUCAUCGCGGACUCCGCCGUCAACCCGCCUCCACCCAGCAGCGUCCCGGCCUCGCGCGUGAUCGGCUUGAUCACCACUCGCCGCCACGAUCCGUCCCAUCUAUGUUGCCCGACUAACCUGGCUCGUCGGAUGCGCGCGCCCCGCAGGUCCGGUGAAGAUCGUUCCCGAGUUCAACGUGCCCCUCCAUCGAUCGAGCAACGGGUUGCCGCUGUGUCGCCCCGCCGCCGCAGCGCUGCCGCCCUGUGGUUCUCCUCACGGUUGCAUCGACUCGCGCGUCACCGAUGUGUCUCCCUUCGGGCCGUAGUGCUGCGAUACGCGGUCCUCGCCGCCGCCCCGAGGCCGCCCCCGCGGUUACAUUGACCCGCGUUCCGUCGCUGCGCCGCCCCUUUAGGUUGUAGCGCCACGGCCCGCGGUCCCCGCUACCGCCUCGAGGUCUUCCCGCAGUCGCCCUGACCUGCCCGCCGCCGCUGCGUCGCCCCUUCAGUUCGUAGCGCCGCGGCCCACGGUCCACUCUGUCAUCCACGCGUGUUGACUUCAUGUGGUAUGCGCCGCGCCGCCUCCUUUGGCGCGGGAACGCCCCUGUCCGCGGGUCUUCGUCAUGCUGCCGGGUUCCUCGCCUACUUCGAGCACCACCGCCGCCGCCGCUGCCCAUCCACCCUCCUCGUCUUCAUCCAAGCACUAGCCCAUCGCCAGCGUCGCCGUCAUCUACCCCGACCACUUCGUCUACUCUGACCACCCUUGGUGAUAUCGGCCCCGCGCUGAUGGACGCCGCAAUCAUCGUCGAUUUCUUCCCCGCUGGCCUCUCUGACUUCUCCGACAUGGCGCACAGCUCGUGCAGGUUCCAAUCUACGCAUGCCCGGUGCUGGCAGCACCUGUGCUUGCCUUCGUCCAUGACGUGUCCCCGGGCCUGGCAAGCUUGGUGCAGCGUUUCUCUAGACACCAUCAACACAUCCAGGCAGUACACAGGCUGUGACUUGCUAAUGGCACAGCAUUCUCAUAUGCUGCUUAUUGGUUGAUGACCAUUCAUCAACAUGGUUUUAGUCCACUUUGCUCUCGUGUCGAUUUGGUGACUUCCCCGCCGUCGUACUUUUAUGUUGUGUCACCACUAGGAUUUAUUUAUUUGUAACGAAUCAAAAUUAAUGACCUGUUAAGUGGAGCGAACGAUUUUCUUUGCAAGAAAUAUGGUGACUUGCUGUUGUAAUAAAUAAGUUUACUCUGUUUGUUGUUGGACAUGUAUUUGGUUAUUUCGAU
rnacentral:rRNA from 1 species